UGCCAGCACUCGGGAGGCUGAAGCAGGAGGGUCUCAGGAGUUUGAGGUCAGCCUGGUCUACCUGGUUCACAGAACAAGGACAAGAAAGACAAAGCAGCUUGUGCAGAGGAUGAGCCUGUGAGCUGGAGCUUGCGCAGUGGGAGAGAAAGGCACCGAAUCCCCUUGCUGGCAGUUCCCUCAUAAGUUUGUCCGCACGGGCAAAAUUUGGAGACACACAGAGAGGGCAGAGUAAAACCCUGCUCAAGGCCUGAGGAGAGCCAUGGUCUGACAAAGGACCAGGGACAACCGGAGGCCACCUGUGGAGCGGCCAGCACAGACCCAGGCUGCCAGGGAAGCUGUGUGUCAGCCCCUGUGCCUGCAAGGAAGCAAGGGGAGGCGAAAGGCCGAGGGGAGGACCAGCCCCAGCCUCAGGCGCUUUCCUGGAUGCGGGUGAGAAGAUCGGGGAGCAGGCUGGGAGGUGCUGCAGGCUGGG